AUAAAAGAAACAUUUAUCUGCGUUAACCACUCCAGUCAACAGAUGGCGAUAUGUGUUUUUCAGGCGAUGCUUUCAGCGUGACGUAUAAUGUAGUGGACGGGACGCUUCUUCAACAACAUCUAGUCAGCCACCUCGGUAGCUUCCUAGCCGAAACAUUCAAGCUGUUCAGACUGCUUCGGUGUAUAUUUGCCUCUGUAUUUGGAACAUAAUUCUGUCUUUUAACUAGUUUCCCCAUUUAAUGUGAUAUUUCCGUUUAGUCAGGUAACGGUAGCUGGCUUGAUAAAUGAGCCUGUCACUAGGCUAGUCGCUAACUAGCUAGGUUAGCUGGCUAACAUCCCCGACCAUGAGCUCACCAAGCUACUGCCCUCCUGCUAAAAAAGAGGUCUGCUGGAAGGAGAAAGAAGGUAUUUGGCUGAACGUUGUCGUGAAAGAGGAGAAUGAAGAGGAGGAUGUCACAGUAAAUGAAGAAGUAGAGGGAGAGGCUGUUACAGAGAAAGAAGAGGAAGAAAACGAUUAUACUUUUUUUGGAGUGAAUGAAGGAGAGAACUGUCAUAUUGAAGGAGGAGGAGAGGGAAGAAGAAGAAGAGACAGAAGAUCUGAGUAACACCAGGAAGUCCUGUCUUGAAAAUAGUUGUUUUACUGAUGCGUGGUUUUAAACGGCAUUCUAUUCUAGUUCUGAUCUUAAAUGCCGUUUUAAUGUAGGAAUUGAUAAAGCUACACUGUAAGAUGUGAAUACCAUCAACAAGCUGGCCAACAACAAAACUUUAACAAUGGAUUUGCACGCAAAAUCACAACUUAAAUGUCUCACGGAAUGGACUUGUCUUCAUUCAAUACUGCAAUUCCAUCGUACUAAACUGGAGGCGAUUCCGAGCCCACUGUUGACUGCGGUCAAGUGUGCCGACAGUCGCAAAACGCGGUCAGGCCAUCUGCUCUUCAGUUUCUUCCUGAAUUUGCGUGCGUGAAUACACUUUACGGAAUGGCGUUUUUUCAGGAGAGAGACCAGACUCUCCUUCUGACAGCAGGAAGAGUCCUUCAGGGAAACCAGACCCCGAGACGUCCAAACCAGCAGGCCGACAUCACUGCUCCCAGUGUGGAAAGAGUUUUACUCAGUUAGGGAGCCUGAGAAUACAUAAGAGAAUACACACUGGAGAGAAGCCUUACCACUGUUCCCAAUGCGGAAUGACGUUUACCCAGUUAGGGAGCCUGCAAAACCAUGAGAGGGGACACACAGGGGAAAAGCUUUUCCAAUGUUCCCAUUGUGGAAAGAGUUUUGGCCAGGUAGGAAACCUGAACAAGCAUGUGAGGACACACACAGGUAAGAAGAUGUACCGCUGCUCCCAGUGUGGAGAGAGAUUUACCCGGUUAAGGUACCUGAAAGAGCAUGAACGAAUACAUACAAAUACACAGGAGGAGACAUACCACUGCUCUCAUUGUGGAAAGACAUUUUCCCAGUCAGAGAACCUGAAAACACAUGAGAGAAUCAAGAGGCUGUGUUCUGACUUGUGUUUUUGACUGAGAAUUUGUGUUUUUGUUUGGGCUGUCAGACUUCAGUUCACUUUGUGUAAUGUUAGUGCACUAUUUUUUAAUUGUGAUUAACCCAUUGUCUGAAAAGGUUAAAAACACACUGAAAACAUCCAAAAUACAUACUAUAUACCGCUAACAUCUACAAUGCCAUGUAAAAACAAGAUGACAUUGAGGUUAAAUAAAGUGUGCUUUAUCAAUGGAA